UACGGAGGGGGCUAGCGUUGUUCGGAAUUACUGGGCGUAAAGCGCGCGUAGGCGGCUUUGUAGGUUAGAGGUGAAAGCCCGGAGCUCAACUCCGGAACUGCCUUUAAGACUGCAUCGCUAGAACGUCGGAGAGGUAAGUGGAAUUCCGAGUGUAGAGGUGAAAUUCGUAGAUAUUCGGAAGAACACCAGUGGCGAAGGCGACUUACUGGACGACUGUUGACGCUGAGGUGCGAAAGCGUGGGGAGCAAACAGG
rnacentral:rRNA from 1 species